rnacentral:rRNA from 1 species
UGAGGAAUAUUGGGCAAUGCCCGCAAGGGUGACCCAGCAACGCCGCGUGGAGGAUGAAUGUCGUAAGAUUGUAAACUCCUGUUAGAGGGGAAGAAUAGUACCGGUUGGACCGGUAUAUGACUGUACCCUCAGAGAAAGCCCCGGCUAACUACGUGCCAGCAGCCGCGGUAAUACGUAGGGGGCAAGCGUUGUCCGGAUUUACUGGGUGUAAAGGGCGCGCAGGCGGGAUAAAAAGUCAGUGGUGAAAUCCUACAGCUUAACUGUAGAACUGCCUUUGAUACUUUUAUUCUUGAGUUCGGGAGAGAGAGACUGAAUUCCAGGUGUAGUGGUGAAAUACGUAGAUAUCUGGAAGAACACCAGUUGCGAAGGCGGUCUCUUGGUCCGACACUGGCGCUGAGGCGCGAAAGCGUGGGGAGCAAACA